CAAUACAGGAAAGGAAAAGGAAAAUGGAUUUCGCUCCAUUUAGCAAAGCCAAACUAGGAACAAACAGGGAGAGGAACAGAACUCAUGCCCUGCGCUGUUCAAUCCAUUGGGUACAAUUCUCUGGCUCAAGUCAACAGUCCUAAGCAGAUGGCUGCCGUUAGCAGAAAACAAGCACCUGAGGAGGGAAGUGGAAACAAGUAACUCCAAACAACCAUCUGCUUCUUAAUUUUAAAGCAAAGGGCACAAAGAACUUUGAGGCACUACCAGUCCUGUUGUCAUCCCCUAUCUGACAAGAAGAACAGAAGUGAAGACAAUGGAGACCUAAGGGGGGCUUUUUUUGCCUCCUGUCAAGGUAAACGUUCCUCAGGGAA